rnacentral:rRNA from 1 species
UGGGGAAUAUUGGACAAUGGGCGAAAGCCUGAUCCAGCAAUGCCGCGUGAGUGAUGAAGGCCUUAGGGUUGUAAAGCUCUUUUACCCGGGAAGAUAAUGACUGUACCGGGAGAAUAAGCCCCGGCUAACUCCGUGCCAGCAGCCGCGGUAAUACGGAGGGGGCUAGCGUUGUUCGGAAUUACUGGGCGUAAAGCGCACGUAGGCGGCUUUGUAAGUAAGAGGUGAAAGCCUGGUGCUCAACACCAGAACUGCCUUUUAGACUGCAUCGCUUGAACGUCGGAGAGGUGAGUGGAAUUCCGAGUGUAGAGGUGAAAUUCGUAGAUAUUCGGAAGAACACCAGUGGCGAAGGCGGCUCACUGGACGACUGUUGACGCUGAGGUGCGAAAGCGUGGGGAGCAAACA